GAGGUUAUGGCUCAGUGGUAGAGCGCUCACCUAGCAUGUGGGAGGCAUUGGGUUCAAUCCUUAGCACCA
rnacentral:tRNA from 1 species